AUUGUUUAGCUGCAAAUGGCCCGAGGGCCGCACUUUGGUCCAAUUUUUCAGAAGAUGUCAAAAUGUGGUACGGCGUACUCACAGAAUGAACAAAUCUUCCUCGCUGGACACGCAGUCGCCGUUCUCCUCCUGAGAGUAGAGCAGCAUCUUCCUGCACACGUGCAAGCAAGUCAGCCAGUCCUCUUUUCCCCCACGCUCCCUGAACGCACCUCUGCUCGGUGAGCCUGCGGUACUUGUCCCUGUCGGCGGGGGUGAGGCGCAGCAGCGGCUUCAGGCCUUCCCUGCAGCUCUUGACGUUCUGGUUGUCCACGUAGACGUCGUACAGGUCCCGCUUCUCCUCCAGGAUCUUCUCCGUGGUGCCUGCGGGCCACAGGCGGGCGCUUAGAGGGGAGGACAGACCCGGGUGGGGUGGGGAUGCCACUCACAUGCCACGUAGGACAGCUCCUUCUCCAGGACGCCCAUGUCGGCCACGUUGACGUAGAAGAAGGGGCGGAGCUCGGGCACGGCCACGCCCACCCCCGGGAUGGAGACGUUGGCCAGGGAGCAGCAGCAGUACACUGACAGGGAAAUCGGCACGGCGUUAGUCUGGGGGCGGGGCAAAGUGGGCGGGGAUAUUUGCGUUUUGGGCCACACCUCUGUAGCAGACCACGCCCACCGGCGGAGGCGAGAAGAUGAGGAUCCGCCUCCGGAGGAGCGCCAGCUUCCAGAGGACCAUGAUCUGCUCCCCGAAGAAGCGGAUGAAGUGGGACAUGCAGCCUGCCGGGUGCGUGAUCUGGGGGCGGAGCAACUGCCAUGUGGUCAGUGCGGCUGCACCCGGACUACUCUAAAAGGCAUGACCCCUCUUUUGUCCUUAGAAGUACCAGGAUGUAGGUCACGGGAACACAAAGUCCGAGUUUGAUCUGGGCUUCUUUCAAGCAUCUGCUGCGGCUUUUUCACCCAAAUGAAGCAUUUCAAGCAUGAAAAAGCUAAAUAAUGUAAACAUGUCGAUACUACAGUGGUGUUGCGUAAUAAUGUAAACAUGUUGAUAUCACAGUGGUGUUGCACAAUAAUGUAAACAUAUCAAUACUACAGUGGUGUUGCUCAAUAAUAUAAACAUGUCAAUAUUACAGUGGUGUUGCACAAUAAUGUAAACAUGUCAAUACUACAGUGGUGUUGCACAAUAAUGUAAACAUGUCAAUACUACAGUGGUGUUGCACAAUAAUGUAAACAUGUCAAUACUACAGUAGUGUUGCACAAUAAUGUUAACAUGUCAAUACUACAGUAGUGUUGCACAAUAAUGUUAACAUGUCAGUAUUACAGUAGUGUCGCACAAUAAUGUAAACAUGUCAAUACUACAGUGGUGUUGCGCAAUAAUGUAAACAUGUCAAUACUACAGUAGUGUUGCACAAUAAUGUAAACAUGUCGAUACUACAGUAGUGUUGCACAAUAAUGUAAACAUGUCGAUACUACAGUAGUGUUGCACAAUAAUGUAAACAUGUCAAUACUACAGUAGUGUUGCGCGAUAACGUAAACAUGUCAAUACUACAGUAGUGUUGCACGAUAACGUAAACAUGUCAAUACUACAGUAGUGUUGCACAAUAAUGUAAACAUGUCGAUGCUACAGUAGUGUUGCCCAAUAAUGUAAACAUGUCAAUACUACAGUAGUGUUGCACAAUAAUGUAAACAUGUCAAUAUUACAGUGGUAUCGCACAAUAAUGUAAACAUGUCGAUACUACAGUGGUGUUGCACAAUAAUAUAAACACGUCAAUACUACAGUGGUGUUGCACAAUAAUGUAAACAUGUCAAUAUAACAGUGGUGUUGCACAAUAAUGUAAACACGUCAAUACUACAGUGGUGUUGCACAAUAAUGUAAACAUGUCAAUACUACAGUGGUGUUGCGUAAUGUAAACAUGUCAAAAGUACAGUAGUGUUGCACAAUAAUGUAAACGUGUCAAUAGUACAGUAGUGUUGCGCAAUAAUGUAAACAUGUCGAUACUACAGUAGUGUUGCACAAUAAUGUAAACAUGUCAAUAGUACAGUAGUAUUGCACAAUAAUGUAAACAUGUCGAUACUACAGUGGUGUUGCGCAAUAAUGUAAUCAUGUCGAUACUAUAGUGGUGUUGCACAGUAAUGUAAACAUGUCGAUGCUACAUUAGUGUUGCACAAUAAUGUAAACAUGUCGAUGCUACAUUAGUGUUGCACAAUAAUGUAAACAUGUCAAUACUACAGUAGGAUUGCACAAUAGUGACGAUACACACGAUAUCAAUUUAGCCAACGAUAGCGCUUUGAAUAGUGAAAAAAAUCGAUUCACAUACGAAUUGCGACUAUAUGUAUAUAUAUAUUUUUUUUUUCUUUAUAAGGAAUACAUUUUAUACCAUCUCAAUGCAUGAUUGCAUUAAAUGAACGAUUUAAAAAAAUAAUUAUAAUUUUUUAUUAAAUCAAAUAAAUUAUUAUCAAAUCAAAUGAUUUUUUUUUUUAAUUAAAUGAAAAUAUUAAACGAAUGAACAUAUUGUAUACAUAAAUAUUCUUGCACUUCCACCUUCAUUUCCGGGUGCAUGUUGUGGUUGAUGGCGCUCCCCCAGGGGUCCACAGGGCACGCAGUUACAAGGUCGUCGCCGCCAGGGGGCAGCAGCGCCCUCUUGUCCUGGUAGAAGGCCUCCAGGGGCCAGUAAUGUCCCGGGGACUGCAGCUGGAGCCUAAACACAGCAACACUGCACAGUCAGCCAAGAAUGAAAUGAAAUAAAGGUGUGUCACGGCCGAUGAAGAGCGGGGCAGGCCCAGAGGAUGGAGCGUGGUGCCUGCAGCAAACUAAGUUGGAGCAGCAGAUGACAAUCUUGUGACCACACAAGGACAACUUUGUCUCACCCGGCACAGAGAGUGACCGGGUGCAGGAGGACUGAAAAAUCAACAAGAAAGUAUCUGUUGGAGAACUGCGUCAAUUUGUCAGACUGUAAAUAGACAAAGCUUGCCAUACCAUUUUUAGUCAAAUUUAUUAUGAUACGUUUUUAUUCUUUAGUAGACAAACUUAAUAUUGUGAGAAAAAAGUUGUCAUUUUACUACAAGUCUGUAGAAAAAUUUCAAAAAAAAUAUUUAAAGAAAAAAAAAAUUUCAAAAAAAGUUUUAAAUUUUACUUAAAAAAAAAAGAAUGCUAUUUUACAUGAUUAAUGUCAAGUAUAUUGUGAAAAAGUCAAAUCUCUUUCAGAAAAAAAGUUGUAUUUUUACAAGAACAAUUUGUAAUUUUACACGAUUAUAGUCAAAUAUAUAUAAAAAACAAGUCUCUUUUUUGGGGGAUGAAUGCAAUAUGGCGAGAAAAAAGUUAUUUUACAAGAAUUGGGUAUAAAUAUUUUCAUAAAAAAAUAGUUAAAGAAGAAAAUAUUUUAAGAAAAAAUUUAUUUUACAAGAAUUGUUAGAAACAUUUUGAUGACAAUUAGUUUAAUAAAAAACUGUUCUAAUAAUAUAUCCCAUUUUUCAAGAAAAAAAUUAUGGCAAUUUUUACAUGAUUGAAGUUAAAUAUAUAUUUUUUUAAAGUUGUAUUUUUGAUAGCAAAAAAGUUUCUCAUUUUACAAGAAAAAUUAUAUUUUACAUAUAUCAUAGAAAACCCCCAUAUUGUGAGAAAAAAGUUGUAAUUUUACAAGUGUGAAAAAUAUUUCAAGGAAAAAUAUUUUAAGAAAAAAGUCAUUUUACAAGAAUUGUGUAGAAAUAUUUAGAUGACAAUUAGUUUCAGAAAAAAAAACGAUUCUAAUAUUGUGAUAAUAUAUUCUAUUUUUUCAAGAAAAAAG